GCCUUUGUGGGUCAACGGUAGAUCAUCCGCAUUUUAUUGGGGUUGGAAAUUGUAACUCUUGUGGACGGCACGGGUUCGACUCCCGUCGAGGGCA